CCUCGGUGAUUUACUUCCUAGUUCUUUGUCCACUGCAUAUAUGCAGGAGUUGAGCCUUGGACAUUUGAACAGAAGCUUGGUGAUGCAGUCUUUAUCCCUGCAGGAUGUCCCCACCAAGUCAGAAAUUUGAAGGUAUGAUAUGCCAUGCACUGAAUCAGUUUCUGAUUCCUCUGCCAUUAAUGCCAUACUUCUGAAUAGAAAUGACUGCUGUUACCUGUGGUGUUUCUCCUUUUGUUAACUGUUUUUGUUCUUGAGCAGUCUUGUAUAAAGGUCGCACUUGACUUUGUUUCGCCGGAAAAUUUACGAGAGUGCAUCAAGUUGACAGAAGAAUUUCGUCUGCUUCCAAACUGGCAUAGGGUGAAUGAAGAUAAGCUAGAGGUCUGCCGUUUUUCCGUACUCUCCUGCUGCAUGUAUACAAGCUUAUCUUAUUAUUUAUCUGUAUGCUAAUCUUGAUCAUGAUUAUAUAUAGUAUGCCAGUCUUGAUAUCUCCAUAACUGCCACAUGCUCUAUUUUUUCUGCACUCUUCUCUGAUUCUGAAAUUCUGUGACAAUCUAAACUUCCAGGUUAAGAAGAUAGCUUUUCAUGCAAUCAAAGAAGCCAUUUAUGAUAUCUCCAAUGGUGGCAAGAAAAGGUUAGUGGCAGCAACUCCCAGCAUGGUCUCAACUUGCUUUUGCUAUGACAUAAAAAGUACUAAAUCAGGAAAUGUGCAAAUAAUGCUACAUUAGUGUUCCUGUGUACCUCUGCUUACUGCUAUGUUAUACACAAGAAAUUUGCAUGGCCUCUAUCUGCAAUCUGAAUAUCGAAGUAAUGGUGCAUCUGUGAUCUUACGCGCUGCUGAGGGUCUUUGUGAAAAUGAAUCAUAGGGACAUGGUGCUGUUGCCACGCAAAUUUUGUGUAGAUAACUGGGGAGUUGAUUUACAAAAUUGAAAAGUUCUAUAUUGUGAUCUUGAGGGCCCUUUAUGCAUUGAUGGUUAAGUAGGUUAAAUGCUUUAGUAGGAUAAGAUUUAUUCUGUUGUAAAUAAUGAAGACAUUGUUUUCUUUUAUACCAGACCUAAAAAGGAACCUGCUGGGCGUGGUAAAAAGAAAGCUGGUCGUGGUCCAGGAAAAAGGAAAACUGGCCGUCGUUGUCGAGGGAAAAAGAUACCUGGUCCAAGUGAAUCCGCAGAACCAGAGGAGCAUGAAGUGCAAGGAGAAUCAGCUCUGGACAUGUCUGAAGCUGAAGGUGGACCUGCAGAAAUGGAGGAGCACGAAGAACAGUCAGCUGAGGACAUGUCUGAAGAUGAUGAAGACGAAGCUGCAGAAAAGGAGGAGUGCCAAGAAGAAUCUGCUCUGGACAUGUCAGAAGCUGAAGAUGGACCUAGUGAGUCAGCGCAGGACAUGUCUGAGUUUGAAGAUGAGCCUGCAGAAGUGGAGGAGCAGCAGAAACAAUCAGUUGAGAACAUGUCUGUACCUAAAGAUGAGCCUGCAGAAAUGCAUCAGGAAGAGUCAGCUCAGUACAUGUCUGCACCUGCAGAAGCGGAGAAGCCCCAAGAAGAAUCAGGUCAGGACAUGCCUGAAGCCGAAGACAAAGCUGCGAAAAUGGAGGCGUCUGAAG
rnacentral:lncRNA from 1 species